rnacentral:rRNA from 1 species
UACAGAGGGUGCAAGCGUUGCUCGGAAUUACUGGGCGUAAAGCGUGUGUAGGCGGUCCAGCAAGUGGGGUGUGAAAUCCCUAGGCUCAACCUAGGAACUGCGCCCCAAACUGCAGGACUUGAGUGUCGGAGAGGAUAGUGGAAUUCCCAGUGUAGAGGUGAAAUUCGUAGAUAUUGGGAGGAACACCAGUGGCGAAGGCGGCUAUCUGGACGAACACUGACGCUGAGACACGAAAGCGUGGGGAGCAAACAGG